GAGCCGUGCGGUGAGCACAUUGCUAACUAUUCUUUCGCCUUUUACUAAAGAAUACCGUGUGCUCGCCGCUGAUCAUAGCGGCAUACACCAAUCUUUUUGUGGGGUAAUGCCCUUAGCUAA